rnacentral:rRNA from 1 species
AACACAUGCAAGUCGAGGGGUAGCAGGGUAGCAAUACCGCUGACGACCGGCGCACGGGUGAGUAACACGUAUCCAACCUUCCCAUAACUCGGGGAUAGCCUUUCGAAAGAAAGAUUAAUACCCGAUAGUACUUAUAUAAGGCAUCUUAAAUAAGUUAAAGAUUUAUUGGUUAUGGAUGGGGAUGCGUUCCAUUAGAUAGUUGGUGAGGUAACGGCUCACCAAGUCUUCGAUGGAUAGGGGUUCUGAGAGGAAGGUCCCCCACAUUGGUACUGAGACACGGACCAAACUCCUACGGGUGG